rnacentral:rRNA from 1 species
AAUAGAUACCCCGGUAGUCCACGCCGUAAACGAUGAGUACUAGUUAUUGGAGGUAUUGACUCCUUCAGUGACGCAGCUAACGCAUUAAGUACUCCGCCUGGGAAGUACGGUCGCAAGACUAAAACUCAAACAAAUUGACGGGGGCCCGCACAAGCGGUGGAUUAUGUGGUUUAAUUCGAAGCAACGCGCAGAACCUUACCUAGGCUUGAACUCCUACGAAUCCGGGGUAAUGCCUGGAGUGUCCGCAAGGAAAUGUAGUGAGAGGUGCUGCAUGGCUGUCGUCAGCUCGUGUUGUGAAAUGUUGGGUUAAGUCUCGCAACGAGCGCAACCCCUAUCGUCUGUUGCCAGCAUUAAGUUGGGCACUCUGACGAGACUGCCUGGGUUAACCAGGAGGAAGGUGGGGAUGGACGUCAAGUCCUCAUGGCCCUUAUGUCUAGGGCUACACACGUAAUACAAUGGCGCGUACAAAGGGGAAGCGAACUCGCAAGGGGAAGCAAAUCUCAAAAAGCGCGCCUCAGUUCGGAUUGGAGUCUGC